UCUCUUCCACCCCUUUAUAUAUCUUUUGCAUAAGGCAGGAAUCCUUUUGUCCCUCUCUUGAGUUCCCACCCACUCCCUCUCAAUGGAAAGUCAUUCAGUGGAAGGA